AUUGAACGCUGGCGGCAGGCUUAACACAUGCAAGUCGAGCGAGCAGCGGAGGGGUGAGUAGUGUCUGGGAAACUGCCUGAUGGAGGGGGAUAACUACGGGAAACGGUAGCUACUACCGCAUACCAUCCGAUGGGGCCUAGGGGGAUUAGCUAGUAGGUGGGGUAAUGGCUCACCUAGGCGACGAUCCCUAGCUGGUCUGAGAGGAUGACCAGCCACACUGGAACUGAGACACGGUCCAGACUCCUACGGGAGGCAGCAGUAGGGAAUAUUCGACAAUGGGCGAAAGCCUGAUGGAGCCAUGCCGCGUGUAUGAAGAAGGCUUUCGGUUUGUAAAGUACUGUCAUCGGGGAAGCGGUACCCACACAGGAAGCACCGGCUAACUCCGUGCCAGCAGCCGCGGUAAUUC
rnacentral:rRNA from 1 species